rnacentral:tRNA from 1 species
GCGCCCGUAGCUCAACUGGAUAGAGCGUCGGACUACGAAUCCGCAGAUUGGAGGUUCGAAUCCUCCCGGGCGUA